rnacentral:rRNA from 1 species
CCUACGGGGUGCAGCAGUGGGGAAUAUUGGACAAUGGGCGAAAGCCUGAUCCAGCCAUGCCGCGUGUGUGAAGAAGGCCUUCGGGUUGUAAAGCACUUUCAGUGGGGAAGAAAGCCUUGGGGCUAAUACCCUCGAGGAAGGACAUCACCCACAGAAGAAGCACUGGCUAACUCCGUGCCAGCAGCCGCGGUAAUACGGAGGGUGCGAGCGUUAAUCGGAAUUACUGGGCGUAAAGCGCGCGUAGGCGGUCUGAUAAGCCGGUUGUGAAAGCCCCGGGCUCAACCUGGGAACGGCAUCCGGAACUGUCAGGCUAGAGUGCAGGAGAGGAAGGUAGAAUUCCCGGUGUAGCGGUGAAAUGCGUAGAGAUCGGGAGGAAUACCAGUGGCGAAGGCGGUCUUCUGGACUGACACUGACGCUGAGGUGCGAAAGCGUGGGUAGCAAACAGGAUUAGAUACCCCUGUAGUC